AGGUUAUAUAACAGCUAUCACCUGCAGUACUCACAGCAGUAGAAUUCCAGAUCAGCAGUUGCAAAAUCAACAACAGCAGCUGUCACCUGGUUUUCAGAGAAGUUGAAAUCAAUUUUCGCAGAUUUGGUGUACAAGGGAGAGAAAGAACGUGGAAGGCACUGUACAAGAGUGGACACUGACACAGAGCGUUGCUGACUGAAUGUUUAUGUCUCCUCAAAGCCCUAUGAUGAAAUCAUCACCAUUAAGGCAGUAGUAGGAGGUGCUGCAUCCUUUGGGAGUGAGAAUACAAUGAGAAGAAAUCCAUCUGUAAGUCACGGAAUGGCCCCUCAUCAGACAUCAGAUCUGUGUGCAUCUUGAUCAAGAAUUUCCCAGCCUCCAAAACUGCAAGAAAUACAUGUUUGUUGUUUAAGCCACCCAGUUUGUGGAAAGCUGUUAAAGCAACCCAAAUUAUUUAAGAUGUAGACGACCAAAAUGUUUAAAUUCUUUGAGAAAUAAA